rnacentral:snRNA from 1 species
AUACUUACCUGGCAGGGGAGAUACCAUGAUCACGAAGGUGGUUUUCCCAGGGCGAGGCUUAUCCAUUGCACUUGCUGACCUUUUAAUCCACCUCUUCUGUUGGUCUUUCCAUUUGGACAAGGACAAAAAUUUACUUAUUUAUCCUUC